GGAUGUGAGGGCGAUCUGGCUGUCACCCCAUUGAUCGCCAGGGUUGAUUCGGCUUAUCUAGCUGGUUAGGCAGGUGUCCCCUUCCUCCCUCACCACUCCAUGUACAUCCCUCCCGCGCUCGUCAAAGAGGACGACCACCCCCGAUAGAGGAGGACCGUUUCCUUGGUCAAGGGUAUAUGAAUAGCUGCGCUCCCCUGCUAGAACCUCCAAACAAGUUGUCAAGUGUACCAGUCAGCUCUGCAAUUAGGAAAAAGUACAUGGACAUCAGAAAAAUGUAUAAACCCUUGUAC
rnacentral:snRNA from 1 species